GACAAAGUAGAUUGCUUCUGUGUUGGCCC
rnacentral:piRNA from 1 species